rnacentral:rRNA from 1 species
UACAGAGGGUGCGAGCGUUGUCCGGAAUCACUGGGCGUAAAGGGCGCGUAGGUGGCGACCCAAGUCGAUGGUGAAAGCUCGCCGCUCAACGGCGAGUCGGCCACCGAUACUGGGUUGCUUGAGCACUGUAGAGGCUAAUGGAAUUCCGGGUGUAGCGGUGGAAUGCGUAGAGAUCCGGAAGAACACCGGUGGCGAAGGCGGCCCGCUGGGCAACUGCUGACACUGAGGCGCGACAGCGUGGGGAGCAAACAGG